rnacentral:lncRNA from 1 species
CAAUUUUCUCAGCCUCCCACCACCCAUGCACUUGUAGACAUAGUUGAGUUCCAAGACAUUAGGUGCAUACGUGGUGAAAUUCUACUAUAAUACAUUUCAGUUGCUGCUGGAGCAACCCCACGUACUUGUCUUAAAGUUCAAUUUAACUAAUUUCUCCUAUGUGAGGUCAAUCUUUUCCUUUUAAAAACCUAACAAGGUGGGUAUGCCUUGGGGCAUGCUUAGUCUGCAUUAAAUAUGCACUAAAUCACGGCUUGGAAGAAACUGGGGUGGCAAGAGUCAAGUAAUUAACUCAAAAAUAAAAUCAGGACACUAUCCCUGAGGGUGAGAGGAUCUUCAAAACGUGUUAUCUGUGUUGAAUUUCAUGUGCAUGCAUUCUAGAAGGCACGUUGCAUUUAGGUAGAAAUAGCAACAAUUUAAAGCUAACUUUGAAACUUCUCAAAAGG